GGACGAACGCUGGCGGCGUGCUUAACACAUGCAAGUCGAACGGAAAGGCCCUGCUUUUGUGGGGUGCUCGAGUGGCGAACGGGUGAGUAACACGUGAGUAACCUGCCCUUGACUUUGGGAUAACUUCAGGAAACUGGGGCUAAUACCGGAUAGGAGCUCCUGCUGCAUGGUGGGGGUUGGAAAGUUUCGGCGGUUGGGGAUGGACUCGCGGCUUAUCAGCUUGUUGGUGGGGUAGUGGCUUACCAAGGCUUUGACGGGUAGCCGGCCUGAGAGGGUGACCGGCCACAUUGGGACUGAGAUACGGCCCAGACUCCUACGGGAGGCAGCAGUGGGGGAUAUUGCACAAUGGGCGGAAGCCUGAUGCAGCAACGCCGCGUGCGGGAUGACGGCCUUCGGGUUGUAAACCGCUUUCGCCUGUGACGAAGCGUGAGUGACGGUAAUGGGUAAAGAAGCACCGGCUAACUACGUG
rnacentral:rRNA from 1 species